UAAUAUCUAUUCAUGUGCUGUCUCCUCAUUUCCCAACCAAAAAAAAAACAAACAAGCCUCUCUUCUUCUUCUUCAAGGAGAUCUCACACUACAAACUACAAACCAUUGUUAUCACUUACUUAUGAGGAAUGAUCAAAGAACUGUGAUCCAAAAUUAGAGACAGAAAGAGAGAGAUAGUGACUUUUAUUUUUUUAUAUAUAUUGUUUUUCAUUUUCAUCAAUUUUUUUAUUUAAAAAAGAAAGAAAGAAAGUUGUUGUUCUGUUUCUGUUUUUGGUUGGGGAUCUUUGGCUUGGGAUUGAUUGAUGAAGUCAAGGGACAUCUCAAAUUUGCAAUGAAUUAGACUCAAAUUAGGCUUUUCUUAGUUAGUUGGAAGCAAUGUUUGGAACAUGGAACCCUAGAUCUGAACCAUAUAGCCAGCUUCUCUUUGAAUGUUAAAAUAAACAGCAGCAGCUGGCAAUCCCAAGUUGUAAAGUUCUGCAAAUUCUUUUGUGUUGAAAUUUUGUCGCCAUCCCGGAGCAUACACCGUCUCUCUACCGAGUUGACGAAAAACCGCAAACACGAUUCGAUGAAUCCCCAUCAACGGUCGUGGACUCUCAUAAGAAUCAGUGGGAUUUUGAGCCAAAGGCAAGAUAAAAUGAUGAAGAAAGGAACAAAAAUGUAAAAGUGGUAGAAAGUUGGGACUUAUAGAAAAUAAGAGAAGAAAAAGAAACAUUUGCCACUGAAAUUCUCGCGACUGUGAUGCUCUCAUCGUGGUUUUGGUGAAGCAAUAUCGUAAUGAAUCUAAUGCAGCGUGAUGACGCAAAAUUUCGACAUGCUUUUUGCAGCUUUAAAUAGAAAAAGGUGGAGACUUUUUUAGGGUUCCAAAUUUUAGAGAGAAAGUGACGCCCGGGCUUUUGUGGGCGAUUUCAGAGAGCAUUUGAGCCAUUGAAGAGGAUAUUUUCCAUUAAUUUUGAUGUAUUCUUCUUAUCAACCCAAGAUAAUUAUUAAUUGCACUAUUAAUGGCUAAGUUCUUUUAGAUUAAGUCAUUUUAUGAUGAACCUAAUUAUACUCUAUUGGAUCAUAUGAAUGUUUGAGGUUAUUUGAUUUA